rnacentral:rRNA from 1 species
GUGAACGCUGGCGGUAGGCCUAACACAUGCAAGUCGCACGGCAGCACAGUAAGAGCUUGCUCUUACGGGUGGCGAGUGGCGGACGGGUGAGGAAUACAUCGGAAUCUACUUUUUCGUGGGGGAUAACGUAGGGAAACUUACGCUAAUACCGCAUACGACCUACGGGUGAAAGCAGGUGAUCUUCGGACCUUGCGCGAUUGAAUGAGCCGAUGUCGGAUUAGCUAGUUGGCGGGGUAAAGGCCCACCAAGUCGACGAUCCGUAGCUGGUCUGAGAGGAUGAUCAGCCACACUGGAACUGAGACACGGUACAGACUCCUACGGGAGGCAGCAGUGGGGAAUAUUGGACAAUGGGCGCAAGCCUGAUCCAGCAAUACCGCGUGGGUGAAGAAGGCCUUCGGGUUGUAAAGCCCUUUUGUUGGGAAAGAAAAGCAGCAGGUUAAUACCCCGCUGUUCUGACGGUACCCAAAGAAUAAGCACCGGCUAACUUCGUG